rnacentral:lncRNA from 1 species
GCGGCCGCGAAGGCGCGCAGUGGCGGGGGUAGGGGGAUCUACGGGGUGGCCGGUCCUGCUGCCGCUGCCACUGCUACCGCCGCUGCCAUAUUGGGUUCUUACUGUACAAGCAGCUUCUGUGGUCACGUGACCCCUACCGCGCGGCCGUCACUACUGUACGCUGCAGGCCGCGCGAACGAGCGCGCACUUGCGCGCGCCCCCAGCCUCGGCGUCGGACCGGCAGGCUGCAGCAGUUAGCCACGCCCCUGCACUUCCGGUGUCUCCGCAUCGAGCCCUUGCGCACGACGGAGGACCGCCCAUGGUCUGUGGGUCGGAUGUCUGGCGGUCACACCCGCCGGGAAGAUCUUCUGGCGGAAACAGAAUCUGCUCAUUUCGGGAAAGGCUGAUUGCGCGGUUACGUGCAGCGUGUGUUGAGGAGUGGCUCUGGAAACUUAAAGAGCCCGACGAUCAAGUGAUCUUGCCAACUACCGUUUUAAUCAGCAUGUUUUAUUUUGUUGUGGUACAGGCUCAGAGCCCAAUGCAAGCCCUGGCAGAUGUCUUCAACACCAGAGUGACACUCAGCCUGAAGGCCAGGAUUGAAGACUGGAAGUACAGGGGCAAGAAAUACCUUUGAAAAUACUCCAGUGUCCAAACUGCUCACUGGUGUUGCUGCCUUGUGAGCCAGGGCACGAGGCUUUGUUGAGGUCACUACUUUUCAUUCCCUCCAAGAUGGACAAGAUGUUUGUUUUGUGCACAGAAUGGAGCAGUGUCUUGAACGUGCUACACAAGCCCCCUAACAGCCAAGCGAAUCCAGCAGCUCUACAGACAUCCUUUCACUGAGCAGUUAUUUCUCCUCCGAUGUUCUGAUCGCUGUGGGCAGCCUCCAAACACUUUUUGAAAAAGCUGGAGAGAAAGGCGAGCUUGAAAAGGGGAAUGCAGGAUAGAGGCAAAGGGAGAGAAGCAGGCUCAACUGUGUUCAUCUCAACAGGGCUGGGGCCUGCAGGCUGCUGGCAGCACCAAGCUAAGGUGCAUUUCCACUCAACAGAAAGGCCUCCAUCCUAAACCAAGGGGGCAGAGGUUAAUGCUUUAUAUAUAUUUAUAUAUUUAUAUAUUACAUAUGUCCUAGAUAUACAUAUGUCCCAUAUGUAUAGAGUGACAAGAAUGGGCCACUUUGUGUAACUUUAAUUAAAGGCCAUAGCAACAGACAUAGAAAUUUGAUCCUAAUUAAGGCCCGUACUUUGUCAAUCAAAUGUGUGAUACAGUAAAAGAUAAAGGAGAGAGACAGAGACUGAGAUCCAGCCACCUCCAGGAGUCCUGUCUCCAGGGUAUCUUACAUUGAGUGUAGUGCCCCCUGUACAGGUGAACAUAAACACACACAUAAACACACACAUAUAAUACCACAGGCAGGAGCACCUCUUCUGACCACACCUUGGGCCCAGCCUUUGGCUGCGGUGCUGAAGUGGGGUGUAUUGUGCUAUAAGACUGGGAGGGUAGUGGACCAGACAAUGUGGAGUCAGUGUGUCCAAGUGAUGAAUGGGGUGACUCAUGCAGGUUCAUCUACAAAUGACAGAGAGCUCAGGGGGAGGUCCCUCAAUGCCCAGUUCACAUCAGGAGAUUUCUACACACAGCUCCUGUUCCAGAGAAAGCCAUUCCUCUGAUUUGAAUCCUGAGUGUCAAUCACAGGGUUCUGACAGAAACCUGGGAUCCCUUUGAAGGGCAGGCAGCCGCAAGGCUCGGCCAUUCAGUCCAGUGGAGCAGUAGAGAGCACAACAGUGGAGUCAAAGCAAAUGAUGCUCAGACAGGACCUUGAAUGGUGCAAGAGGGGCUCAUUUCCCAAAAGGACAAGAAGGACUGCUGCCCUUUGCCACACAGAACUUCUGGCAGGUCUGUCAGCUUCACGUCUUACAUAAGUAACAGACCUGCUCAUAAGCCAGGGAAGGAGAUGCCCAACAUUAGGGCCCUGGAAAUCCUAACUCCGUUUUCUCUCCCCGAAUUUACCCACUACCACCCACCAAAAUAUGCAUAUUGAAAAUAAGUCAACAUAUUUGGCAGUAUGAUUUUUAGUACUAAGAGAAUUUCUUAAUUUUUCAACCUAAUUUUACACUCAAUAAAUAAUAAUUAAGUAGUGAAUUGUUAAGUGCUGACAGCAGAAAUUACAAUUCCUUAUACAACAAACUGUGUGCUUAGCAGCAGCUUCUGCAUAACUCCAGGACUUGGAAAAGAUUCAACACUGGGCUCAGCAUGGUGCUACACACCUGUAAUCUGCACUCUAGAGGCAGAGGCAGGAAAGUAGCUGUAAGCUUCAUCCGUGCUGGUCUACACAGUGUGUUCCAGGCCAGUCAGGGCUACACACAGAGAGACCCUGUCUCAGAAUAAAACAAAGCAACACAAAACAGCAGAAAUAGAGAGCUAUAGAUCUUUUUUUCCUUAGAGGCAUAUCAGAAACACAAUUAGGGAAGGAAUCCAAGUUAGUUGUAGAACAGCUAGAACUGGAUGGUUUAAAUGUAAACUUUUAAAUUUAUUAUUUAUUUUCUCUUUUUUGCUAUGGAGUCAAGGGAGACUUUGAACUCCUGAUCCAUCUACCUCUGUCUCCCAGGUGCUGGGAUUAAAGGUGUGCACCACCGAACUCAGUUCAAACCCAACUGUAAGAAACUUACUUCAUCUUUAGUUAUAUGUAUGUCUGUAUCUGUAGGAGGGUACGUUCACGUGUGCACAGGUCAAUGCAAAGGCCAUAGGAGAGUUCCAGAUCCCCUGGAGAUGCCUGGUGUGGAUGCUGGAAACCUACCUUGGGUCCCUCUGGAACAGCAGCAAGUACUAUUAACCACUGAACCUUCUCUCUAGCUUUGAAAAAAAUUUUAAACAAGGUUUCAGUUUAUAGAAUGGGCUAUCAUCACUGGCAACUCUUCUACCUCAACCUGAGUGACUCCAAACAAUUUUUGUGGAAUUGUAUAUAUACAUAUACAUAAAAACAUUUUAAAAAUAAAGACUGGGCAUCAUAGCUCACAUCUAUAACCCCAGCACCUGGGAAGCUGAGGCAGGAAUACCUCAAUUUUGAGGCAAGGUGGGCCACAGAGUAAGUGAAUACUAGUAGCAAGCCAGGACCACACAUUAAAAAAAAGAAAAAGAAGAGGAAGCAGCCAGACGUGGCUCAGCAGUUAAGAGCACAUAUUGCUCCUCCAGAAGACCUGAGUUCAAGUCCCAGCACUCACGUCAGGUGACUCACAACCACCUGUAACAACAGCUCCAGGGGGUCCAUGCCUCAAUAAUAAAAAUAAAUCUUAAAAAAAUAUGUUUUAUCUUGCAUGUAAAAAAUAAAGGUCAAUGAAAAUUAACUUUUUAAAAUAGAAAUUUACUUAUCACUUGCAAUACCUGGAGACAUUUGGGGUGGUCACAAAGGAAGGUGAGGAAGGACCAAGUCACACAAGUGGUAAAGAAUGGAUUGAUUUUUCAACAAAAUAGUGCCCCCUCCCCCAAGAUGUAACUAAGAAGUAGGAGUAAAAGGGAAAUCUGGCAAAAA